GGACUUUGAAUACCUCCUAUCCUUAUGGCCAUGGAACACUUGACAUUGACUCCAUUUACACUUGCAGAAACAAAAACGAACAUAUUUGCAACAAACAUCUAGCGGAGGAAUUGCUUGUUACUGAGUACCUACUGAACUGUCAAUUUGUUCGUUGUCAGGAGGCUAUAUCGAGUUUGGUUGCCAUAAUAAUGGUUGCCUCGCGAAUUGGAAAUGCUUUGCCGAAUCCCAGGAUAUCGCCAAGUGUGCCACAUUGUCAUAAUCGUUUUUCUUCUUAGGAUGGUUACCAAUGAGCAGUUGAAUUCUAAAAGGUUUUGUUUGAUAUGCUGUAUUUAAAGAACUGAUGUUGGCACCAGCUUGAUGGGAAAAAGUCAUUUCCAAUGUGGGCACAGGAAAACUUGGAUUUAUUUGGUGAUAGUCGGAUGGUUUUCCUGAAGUUGCAGUUUGAAAUAACCUUUCAAAGCCUAAACUCAUCUUCGUAGAAAGGGACUUGUGAAAAAUAACGCUGGCUCUGUAAAUGUUUUUGGUUUGGGGCAAGACGUUGAAUAAAUUGUGAUGAUUGGAUGGACAACAUGGAAUUCCUACACUUUAUUCAUAUUCCCCAAACGGUAUUUAAAAUUAAAAAAUUGAAGUGCAUAUCUGGGCUCCCUUCCUUUCCGUAGCCCCGUUUCCCCUUGACUCGUAAUAAGCCCGUAGGGGGUCAUGCCCCUACUGUACGGUAUAUAUAAAAACAACAUAUACCGAGGUUUGGAGGGCUCUGGCCGGAA